CCUACGGGUGGCAGCAGUGAGGAAUAUUGGUCAAUGGGCGGGAGUCUGAACCAGCCAAGUCGCGUGAGGGACGACGGUCCUAUGGAUUGUAAACCUCUUUUGUAGGGGAACAAAGGCGCCCACGGGUGGGCGAAUGAGUGUACCCGAAGAAAAAGCAUCGGCUAACUCCGUGCCAGCAGCCGCGGUAAUACGGAGGAUGCGGGCGUUAUCCGGAUUUAUUGGGUUUAAAGGGUGCGAAGGCGGACAGUCAAGGCCGCGGUAAAAGUGCGGUGCUCAACGCCGUACAGCCGUUGAAACUGGCAGUCUUGAGUGGGCGAGAAGUAGGCGGAAUGCGUGGUGUAGCGGUGAAAUGCAUAGAUAUCACGCAGAACUCCGAUUGCGAAGGCAGCAUACCGGCGCCCGACUGACGCUGAGGCACGAAAGCGUGGGUAUCGAACAGGAUUAGAUACCCCAGUAGUC
rnacentral:rRNA from 1 species